AGAGCGAACGCUGGCGGCAGGCUUAACACAUGCAAGUCGAGCGCCCCGCAAGGGGAGCGGCAGACGGGAGAGUAACACGUGGGAACGUACCUUUCGGUUCGGAACAACCCAGGGAAACUUGGGCUAAUACCGGAUACGUCCGUAAGGAGAAAGAUUUAUCGCCGAAAGAUCGGCCCGCGUCUGAUUAGCUAGUUGGUGAGGUAACGGCUCACCAAGGCGACGAUCAGUAGCUGGUCUGAGAGGAUGAUCAGCCUCACUGGGACUGAGACACGGCCCAGACUCCUACGGGAGGCAGCAGUGGGGAAUAUUGGACAAUGGGCGCAAGCCUGAUCCAGCCAUGCCGCGUGGGUGAUGAAGGCCCUAGGGUUGUAAAGCCCUUUUCGGCGGGGAAGAUAAUGACGGUACCCGCAGAAGAAGCCCCGGCUAACUUCGUGCCAGCAGCCGC
rnacentral:rRNA from 1 species